CCUACGGGGCGCUGCAGUGGGGAAUAUUGGACAAUGUGCGAAAGCCUGAUCCAGCCAUGCCGCGUGUGUGAAGAAGGCCUUCGGGUUGUAAAGCACUUUCAGUGGGGAAGAAAGCCUUGGGGCUAAUACCCUCGAGGAAGGACAUCACCCACAGAAGAAGCACCGGCUAACUCCGUGCCAGCAGCCGCGGUAAUACGGAGGGUGCGAGCGUUAAUCGGAAUUACUGGGCGUAAAGCGCGCGUAGGCGGUCUGAUAAGCCGGUUGUGAAAGCCCCGGGCUCAACCUGGGAACGGCAUCCGGAACUGUCAGGCUAGAGUGCAGGAGAGGAAGGUAGAAUUCCCGGUGUAGCGGUGAAAUGCGUAGAGAUCGGGAGGAAUACCAGUGGCGAAGGCGGCCUUCUGGACUGACACUGACGCUGAGGUGCGAAAGCGUGGGUAGCAAACAGGAUUAGAUACCCUGGUAGUC
rnacentral:rRNA from 1 species